AACGGAUGCCACAGAGCCCCGAGGGCAGCAAGAUUGACAGCAUCUACAGCUUGAAGAGGAGCAGAAGCCUUCGCGGCGUUGCGUUAUGAUGCGUCUCUAUUGAUCUGAGCAUCAUCAUUUGGAGAUAGGAGGAGAUUCCUCAUGAGAAGUGACUAUCUAAUGGCGUGCCAAGGCUACCCAUGUCCUCUGUCCCUCUGCAAGACCCUUGGCUGCUGGGCCUGGGCCCAUCUGAGUGGCGCUGAUAUGUCUGGAAUAGCCAGUGAAACGGUUUGUCAAGAUAAGAUUUCAGUAAUGAACCAGCAAUGGCAUGGGGCAAUCAGCCCUGAUUUCGAGCUUAGAGCAAAACCAGCGGGACAGGUGAGCUCCAGCUGACACAGGCUGUUUCAAACUGUCACAGAGGGCACCAAAGCCAGCGUCCUGCAGUCCCACAUUGCCUUACCAGAAAUUUUAACUAGUUGAAAGGAACCCCAGAGGCUCUGCAAGCAAGUAUUUGCUCAGCUGUUGGGUACCAACCUCCUCGCUACUCUGUCAUCCGCAGACUAAGAGCAUCAGCGUGUGGUGGGAGCCUAGCAGAAGCCCAAUCCCCCAGUUCUUCUCAAAGCAGGAUGAAGCCGCUGCAUUCGACAAGCUCCCUGUGUGACACACGGACAAUGGAAGCCGAGAAGCCCCACUCUUGCUAGCUGGCUAACAGCUUGGGUAGAAAAUGUCACUAAAGUCCCAUAUGUUGAAGGGUGUCCAGUUGGUGGCACUAUUAACAAAUAAUUGGGAUCACGAGGGCACUGGCCUCAUCAGUUCAUAGCUGAACGGGCUUUUAGGAAGUGGGGUACAAUCAGAGGGUGUAGGUCACUAGGUCUCUUUCUCUUAAAAUUCUGUAACGAUGUCUGGUGAUGUGUGUGUGCACAUGCCACAGUGACUAUGCUGUCCAGACAAUUUUGACUCUUCCCAACACGUGAACUGCAAGGAUAGAAUCAGGGAGUCGGGAGUUAGGGGCAACGGUGGGGGUGUGGGGCGUAGCCAAAGGAAGGCAAGUGCUGAGGAAGGCUGGGUGCAGCUCAACUCUAGACAGUGCAAGGAUUGUCUGUUGUCCGGGGCUUGGAGAUUUCUACAUCUUGUAUCCUCAGCAUUCCUGGAGGUCCAAAAGAACCCAUGGUAAGAUGCAAACAUUAGCUCUCAUUUCUCUUGACGAUGAGAUGCUUAAUUCACAAGAGGCCUGGGAAGUCAGACCUACCUAAAAAGUUAUUGCCGCCCCAGACUCCACCACGGAGAACAGCUGGGCGUGCAGUUGCAAGCAGUGUACAGCCCAGCGUGCUAAAACACCCCUAGGAAUCAAGGCUGUGCAAAGGAAAAAUUUAACAGGAAAACCAGGCAACUCUCCAACUGUAUUCUCAGACUCCUUAAAUUUCUGGGACGUGGGAAUCUUAGUCUGUCCUCCUUUCAUCCAAGGAGGUCCUGACGAACCUUCAGUGGCAGUCAGAGGGUUGCUCUGCACCCUCCUACUGGGAAAGCAGAGGUCACAUCAGGUUCUAUAGCACCCUGGGACCUACCUCUGAGUUCUCUCUCCCAGAUAGCCGACAAAGUAUUUUUGCCUCACAAACAGGUACAUCAGUCCGGCAAAGGCGGCAGGGACUAAAGUGGAGAAACGAAAACAAACACGUCAGUCUCGCGGUCUCCCAAGCAGUUGUUCACACAACAGUACCAGUGGUUAAGCCAUUAGUGUCUGACCACAAAAUCCAGCAGAGACCUUGGGUUCUGUAAGUGGAGGCUAGCAAACUGCCUUCGUUCGGGUUUCUGUUGCUGUGCUAAAACAUUAUAACCAAAAGCAACUUGGAAAAGAAAGGGUUUUCUUUGGGUUUACACUGCCACAUCACACUUCAACAUUAAAGGAAGUCAGGGCAGGAACUCAAAGCAGGAACCUUGAGUCAGGAGCUGACACAGAGGCCACGGAGGAGCAGUACUUCCUGGCUUGCUCCUCAUGGCUUGCUCAGCUCGCUUCCUUGCACAGCCCAGGACCACCAGCCCAGUGAUGUCACCAGCCAUGUGGGAGGGGCACUCUGACACCAGUCAUUAGUAAAUAUACUACUCCACAGGUGUGCCUGCAGGCCAGUCUGAUGGAGCCAUUUUCUCAAUUAGGAGUCCCUCUUUCCAGAUACAUCUAGGUUUGUGUCACGUUGGCAAAAACAGGCAGCAUGAAUACAGUUCAAAAACGAGUCACAGGACUGGGAGGAAGCAGAGCCUAAAGAAUAGAUUGCCUCAGCAGCUCUGUGGCAUCCUACACGUGCUGGCUUAGGUACCAGCAGUAGGGCAUCCUUCAACAUGUUUAUCUCUGGAUAUGGGAAGUUGAACUCUGGCAGCCUGGGGGAGUUGCAUGGGGCAUCAGCUGGGAAGGAACGCAGGGAAUGUUCACACCUUCAACCAAAGCCCCAAUUUUGAGUCUGGUUUUCUUGAGAGGAUACUCUGUGUCCCUGGGGUUUCUGGUACACAAAGCACACUUUCUGGCCUCUAGGGAAGGAGUUCUCUUUGCAUUCCAAUCUCUGGGUAAAUAAAUAGCUGCUGACAGCACCCCAGUCACCCUCAUAAAAUCCUAAAUUUAGCUUUAGGAGCUGAAAACACCAGUAUCCUACGAGUAGGGUGAUAUACUGGUCAUGUGUGUGAAUAAAGACCUGGCACAGCUCUCCUACUAUGUGUUAACAAAGACUGGUCACAACUGUCCCUCUAUGUGAGGAUAAAAGUCUGUCAUAGUUCUACUAUGUGAGAAUAAAGGUCUGUCAUAACUCUCCUACUAUGUAUGGACAAAUGUUGGUCACAACUCUCCUACUAUGUGAGGAUAAACGCCUGUCAUAACUCUCCUACUAUGUGUAGAUAAAGACUGGUCACAGCUCUCCUACUAUGUGUGUAGAAAGGCUGGUCACAGUUCUCCUAUUAUGUAUAGAUAAAGGCUUGUCACAGUUCUCCUACUAUGUGUGAAUAAAGGCUGGCCACAACUCCCCUACUAUGUAUAGUCAAAGGCUAGUCUCCUACUAUGUGUGGGAAAAGGUUGGUCACAACACUCCUACUAUGUGAACAUAAAAGCCUGUCACAGCUCUCCUACUAUGUGUGUAGAAAGUUUGAUCAGAACUCUCCUAUUAUGUUUAGAUAAAGGCUGGGCACAGCUCUCUCUCCUACUUUGUGUGGGCAAAGGCUGGUUGCAACUCUCCUACUAUGUGAGGAGGCUGGUUAUAGCCUUUCUAUCUUUUAAGAAAGAGUGUUGGAGUAAAAAUAGAACUAUGUGGGCAAAACCACUUUGAAAAUCUCCAGCCUUAUGCAAACACCAAAGUAGCUUCCAUGAGUGAGAACGUCACACAGGCCAGGCACCUUUGGCUCCAAAGCCACCUGCUGACUGGGGCAGCUUUCCAGUCUCUGUCUUGCAGGAGAAAUCUAAGCAAAGAACAAAGGUCCAUGAGAGCAGCUGUCUUUCCCAGGUCACCUCUGAACUUGGCAUAGGCCUGGAACAUAUAGGCUUUCAAUAAUACUUAUCAAAUAAAUGUUUAGUGAAGUCCACAAGUAUCACAAAGGUGGCUCUGAUUUCUAGAUCUUUCUGAUUUGAUUUCAAAACCUUAUUAUCACUGCCACCAGCAGCAUCAAUAACACUUACGGAGUGCCCAUUGUUAACUUGAACCAUAUGGAAGAAACACUUUUUAUUUAACAUUUAUUUUUAUUUUAUGGUACCAGUGUUUUGUCUGUCUGUGCACUACAUGCAUGCAGUACCUACAGGGGCCAGGAGAGGGAGCCAGAUUCCGCAGGAACUAAUGUUACAGAUGGUUGUGAACUGCCAUAUGGAUGCUGGGACUUGAACCUGGAUCCUCUGAAAGAGCAUCCAGUGCUCUUACCCACUGAGCCAUCUCUCCAUUUUGCAUCUUGACAGAAUACAAGUUUUCUCUCUUGUGGUAGGUAUUGUUCCCUUUCAGAAUUUAGACUGCCUAGGAGGUGAGCCUCUGGGAGGUCAUUUUGAUGAUAUUUAUUUGAUGUGGGAGAAUCCAUUUUAAUUUUAGGCAGAACCAUUCCCUAGACGGGGUACCUUGGCUGGAUCUAAGUGGAGGAAGCCGACUGAACCCUCACAUGCAUUCACGGCUGCUCUCUGUCCCUGAUUUCAGAUGCUGUGUGACCAGCUCCCUCAGGCUCUUAUGACAUCUCUGCUGGUAAUGGGGUGUAACUUAGAAUUGUGUGCUGAAAUAAACUUUUUCUC
ensembl:antisense Gm19719 predicted gene, 19719